rnacentral:tRNA from 1 species
GGGUAACUCAGUUGGUUAGAGUAUAGUGCUGAUAACGCCAAGGUUGCAGAUUCGAUCCCCAUAUGGGACA